rnacentral:rRNA from 1 species
GAUGAACGCUGGCGGCGUGCCUAAUACAUGCCAGUCGAGCGAACAGACGAGGAGCUUGCUCCUUUGACGUUAGCGGCGGACGGGUGAGUAACACGUAGGUAACCUACCUAUAAGACUGGGAUAACUUCGGGAAACCGGAGCUAAUACCGGAUAAUAUUUCGAACCGCAUGGUUCGAUAGUGAAAGAUGGCUUUGCUAUCACUUAUAGAUGGACCUGCGCCGUAUUAGCUAGUUGGUAAGGUAACGGCUUACCAAGGCAACGAUACGUAGCCGACCUGAGAGGGUGAUCGGCCACACUGGAACUGAGACACGGUACAGAAUCCUACGGGAGGCAGCAGUAGGGAAUCUUCCGCAAUGGGCGAAAGCCUGACGGAGCAACGACGCGUGAGGGAUGAAGGUCUUCGGAUCGUAAAACUCUGUUAUUAGGGAAGAACAAACGUGUAAGUAACUGUGCACGUCGUGACGGUACCUAAUCAGAAAGCCACGGCUAACUACGUG